rnacentral:rRNA from 1 species
AUUGAACGCUGGCGGCAUGCCUAACACAUGCAAGUCGAACGGUAACAGGGGCUUCGGCCCGCUGACGAGUGGCGGACGGGUGAGUAACGCGUAGGAAUCUUCCCAGUAGCGGGGGAUAGCUCGGCGAAAGCCGGAUUAAUACCGCAUACGCCCCACGGGGGAAAGCAGGGGGUCGUAAGACCUUGCACUAUUGGAUGAGCCUACGUCUGAUUAGCUAGUUGGUAGGGUAAAAGCCUACCAAGGCGACGAUCAGUAGCUGGUCUGAGAGGACGAUCAGCCACACUGGGACUGAGACACGGCCCAGACUCCUACGGGAGGCAGCAGUGGGGAAUAUUGGACAAUGGGCGCAAGCCUGAUCCAGCAAUGCCGCGUGUGUGAAGAAGGCCUGCGGGGUUGUAAAGCACUUUCAGCGGGGAAGAAAGCUUAGGGCCAAUACCUCUAAGUCUUGACGUCACCGCAGAAGAAGCACCGGCUAACUCCGUGCCAGCCGCCGCGGUAAG